AAUGAACAAUUAACCUUGGUUUUUUAGUGAAGGUUAACAGGAGGUAGAAAAAAGUCGUAGUUUAGAAUAGGAACAGAGCAGACUUACUGCUGAGACAGUGGUCCUAAUAGUGGACAAUUGGUGUAAUAAUUAGUGAGUUAAUUGUGACAAUAAAUUGGCGUUGCAUUAAAGAGAUCGUCAUUUGUUGUUCACAUAUUAUUUUGCACCGUUUCUCGGAGGAAAGCAGAAGUCUCAUCUUUUCAACCGGCGAAGAGACUACACCCACCCAAACCUGAAUAGGCUCGCUGCUGGAGAGAAGGUAACCCUUGCUCGUCAUAACAUCAAUUUCUCUCUCUCGCUAUUUACAAUCUCGCUGUCCAUCGGAGAA